CACAUAGAGUUGAUCACGGUGUUGAUGGCCUGUGGAAUGUUGUCCCACUCCUCUUCAAUUGGCGGACCUGGAACAUUCUGUCCUACACGUUGACCCAGAGCUUCCCGAAAAAAAUGUUCAAUGGGUGAAGUGUCUGGUGAGUAUGCAGGCCAUGGAAGAACUGGGACAUUUUCAGCUUCCAGGAAUGAUGUACAGAUCCUUGCGACAUCAUGGGGAUGUGCAUUAUCAUGCCGAAACAUGAGUGGGAUGUUACCAUGGAGGACAACACAAGACUUCUCUACAGCUACCAAAAACAACAGCUCUGUUACCUUGUGGAUGUCGGCCAUCUUGACUGGGGCUGUGGGUCGUGUUUGUGAUGCCAGGCCUGAAAGUGCCCUUUAAGCUCAAGACGGAUCUAUCACGAUGCAACAGCGUGACUGUAUUUUUGGCCCCCGCAGUGAUGGAAGUUCUAGAGGAGAAGCUGAAGGAGCUUUCUGAGGAUGCCAUGGUGGUGGUUUGUCGCUUCCCCUUCCCUCAUUGGCCACACACCUGCUCCAAGGGGGCGGGGUUAGACCAGGUGUGGGCCUAUGUUGUCAUCACUGUCCACAAGCCCUAUCCUUCGGUGUCUCAAUAGGUUACAGUCAUAUACAUUUAAUUCAGUUACAUAAAUACUUUUCCUUAGAGCAAAUGGCAAUAUGCUCAUUGCAUGGUAAGCAAUGGUGUGCAAGAAAACUUAACAAAUGUUUCAUGUCAUUUCAUUGGCCCCACAUAAUGUUUUGUACAAUGUGCAAGUUGAAUUACAAAAUACCAUGCUGGCUAUUGCUGCCCCUCUAAAGCUUCAAUAGUACCUUAUUAAAUCUUAGUCACAGAAUAAAAAGGCGGUUAGCAGAAUGUAAAAUAGAAGGGAAUAAAAUACAGUGCCUUACGAAAGUA